CGUCGUCCACCUGCUGCGGGCAGAUGAAGUGGAUGUGGCUGUCGAACCCGCCGGCGGUGAGGAUUUUGCCUUCGCCGGCGAUCGCCUCGGUGCCGGGGCCGAUGAUGAUGUCGACGCCCGAUUGCGUAUCCGGAUUGCCGGCCUUGCCGAUCGCGGCGAUGCGGCCGUCCUUCAGGCCGACAUCGGCCUUGUAGAUGCCGGUAACGUCGACGAUCAGCGCGUUGGUGAUGACCGUGUCGACGGCCCCGUCAUGGCGGGUGAUCUGGGACUGGCCCAUGCCGUCGCG
rnacentral:sRNA from 1 species